rnacentral:lncRNA from 1 species
UCGGAUCCGUUCUUCCGUUUUUGAACCGUUAUAGUGUCAAGCCCUGAAGGUCGUUCAUCGAGAAACCGAAUUAUCCUGUUACUGGAAACCCUUGAGAACAUUUUCCCGUGGAAACCGUAUUAUUUUCUUUCUUAGGUACGUCAAAUAAGCUUUUCUACGCUCGGAGGACUUACUUUAGAAGUUUAAAUGCCGCCAUAACUAUUUAGCCAAUCAGCGUCUUUUCAAAAGCGGUUAAACCCAAGUUGGUUGCAUGUCGAGUUUCCAAUGACGUCAUACCCAUCCGCCAUUGACGGGUUCAUAUCACUCAGCAGGCAAACCAAUGUACCCCUUCUCCGUCACUACUCUCUAAGAUGGCGCUUCUAACCUUCUGUACUCUCUCCUGUAAUAGUAAUUGUUACCGUGACCGUGAAUUCUGGGAAUUGUGAAGUGAAGUGAAGUCGGUCAACCCACGCUUACCGGAUCCACGAAAGUUACUACCUAACUAAUGUAUAUUUUAUGGUGAACCUACGCUUACGGGAUCCACGAAAUAUUCGGCCAUGAGUGUCAGAAGGAGCCCAAGGUUAAAACCUAAAUUGACUACGGGUGUUGAAGGAGACAAUGCUUCGAAUUCAAAAGAUGAUGGACCUCCGAAAAAGAAACAAAAACAACAGAAACAUCGCAAUAGCGAAGGAAUUUCUUUUAUUUCCUGUGAUGCCCCUGAACAACAAUCAGUUGAUCGUUCUUCUUUGAGACAAUCUUUUUCAUCUAUACCGACUACGGGUGUUGAAGGAGACAAUGCUUCGAAUUCAAAAGAUGAUGGACCUCCGAAAAAGAAACAAAAACAACAGAAACAUCGCAAUAGCGAAGAAAUUUCCUUUAUUUCCUGUGGUGCAACUGAGGAACAAUCAGUUGAUCGUUCUUCUUUGAAACAAUCUUUUUCAUCUAUACCGACGACCGGUCUUGAAGGAGACAAUGCUUUGAAUUCACAAAAUGAUCGACCUCCGAAAAAGAAACAAAAAAAACAGAAACAUGGCAAUAGCGAAGAAAUUUCCUUAUUUCCUGUGAUGCCCCUGAAGAACAAUUAGUUGAUCGUUGUCCUUUGCGACAAUCUUUUUCAUCUAUAACGACGACGGGUCUUGAAGGAGACAAUGCUUUGAAUUCACAAAAUGAUCGACCUCCGAAAAAGAAACAAAAAAAACAGAAACAUCGAAAUAGCGAAGAAAUUUCCUUUAUUCCUGUGAUGCUUCUGAAGAACAAUCAUUGAUUGUUGUCUGUUGGGACAAUCUUUUCA